rnacentral:lncRNA from 1 species
CAUAUUGGCGCCAAAACUAGCGGCAAAUUUAAAAAUGAGGCCAACAUUUCGCUGUUUCGGCUUUUUAAGCAGCUGGUCGGUCCGGCGCCAAUAUGGCCGACCAACAUUGACAAGCAAGCCGUAAAAUAAAAUAUUUAUUAAUUGUAAUAGAAUUACGUUUAUUAUCUACAGUUUACCUUCAUUUUAACGCUUAUAUAUGUUAAGAGGUUAUAAACGAAUGGUUUCCGUACAAGUGUUUUUCAUUUGUAUUAGCAUUUAUUUUGUUACCUUUUAGCGCAAAGUACGCCAACAGAAUACUUAAUUCAGUCGAAACAAUUGGAAAAACUUUGUUGAUGAGAAUGGGAUACCUAUACCAUAAGUAAACUUUCCCUAUUAUACCAGUUAUGCUGUAGUUAGUUUUGACAAAUAAGCAUGAUUUAACGAAAGCCUUUGGAACUAUGAAUAAGCUACAAACUUAUAUUUGACAGCCGGCUUUUAUACGAGAAAAUUUUGAACCAUGGUUGAAACAAAUAAAUGUAAUAAUUAAAUUGAUAUGAUACAUACCUGCUAUUUUUGAAAUAUAUUAAUAUAUUGAUAGAAAGAUUGUUUCAAUUAGUAUUACUUCAGGUAGUUUCGGUAUUUUAGGUAUGUAAUUGUGCAUUUAAUUUAAAAAUAACUUAGAAAGAAGCUUGAAACGCAUAGGAGCUCUUUAUGUAUGCUGUAUAAUUAAGGUUUGUAUGUUAUGGAGUGAUUUUUAUACAACAAAUUUAUUAUUAGUUGAAUAAAA